rnacentral:rRNA from 1 species
CUACGGGUGGCUGCAGUCGAGAAUCUUCGGCAAUGGACGAAAGUCUGACCGAGCGACGCCGCGUGCGGGAUGAAGGCCUUCGGGUUGUAAACCGCUGUCAGAGUGAAGGAAAUUUUGACCGAUCCUCAAAGGAAGUACGGGCUAAGUUCGUGCCAGCAGCCGCGGUAAGACGAACCGUACAAACGUUAUUCGGAAUCACUGGGCUUAAAGGGUGCGUAGGUGGUCUAUUAAGUUGGGUGUGAAAUCCCUCGGCUCAACCGAGGAACUGCGCUCAAUACUGGUAGACUCGAGGGAGAUAGAGGUGAGCGGAACUGAUGGUGGAGCGGUGAAAUGCGUUGAUAUCAUCGGGAACACCUGUGGCGAAAGCGGCUCACUGGAUCUCUUCUGACACUGAGGCACGAAAGCUAGGGGAGCGAACGGGAUUAGAUACCCCAGUAGUC